CCAAUCUUCUUUCCAUAUCAAAAAAAAAAAAAAAAAAACAUUACUUGAAACCCUAAUCCCCAAUUCCUCUUCCAAUAUUUCAAUCACAAUCAUUUAAGAAAAAUCAAAGAGACAAAUUUCGAAAAUUUCCGGCGAUUAUCUCAUCAUCCAAACAUUCCAGAAGGUAUUAAGUUGGCUUAGUUAUCAUGAGAUUCAGAAAAGGAAGUAGAGUUGAGGUAUUUAGCAGCAAAGAGGCGCCUUAUGGUGCGUGGCGAUGCGCUGAGAUUAUCUCUGGUAAUGGACACACCUACAGUGUUAGAUACUACUCUUUCCACGAGGAUGCAGUGGUGGAGAGAGCUCCAAGGAAGAUGAUUAGGCCGUGUCCUCCCCAAGUGGAUGUAGAGCGAUGGAAGAGCGGUGAAUUGGUGGAAGUUCUUGAUGAUUUCUCUUGGAAAGCUGCCACUGUUCGUGAAGAGUUAUCUGGAAAGUACUAUGUGGUUCGGUUGCUUGGGUCUCCUGCAGAGUUUACGUUUCACAAGGCAAACGUCAGGGUUCGUCAGUCGUGGCAAGAUGAGAGAUGGGUUGCUAUUGGAAAGAUAUCAGGUUCUGCGAAGUCAUCCACAGUCACUGGAUCAGAUCGGAAGCUGCAGCCUCAAAUGAAAAGCAUACUUCUCCGCGAGCCAAGUGUUGUCUCUCCUAGAGUAUUAAAGAGGCCGUUACCUCAGAACUGGUCUGAAUGUGCUGAAUCAUACACAGGAAAGACCAAGAAGAUACGUUCACUGGAAGCUUCCUCCAAGAAUCCCCUAACGGUCAGGGUAAGAUCAAAAGGUCUUGGUGAGAGCUUAGUCGCUGAUGAUUGUAACGAUAGCGAUGCAUGCUCAGUUGGUAGUUGUAGCGCCACUAGUUAUGAUGGGAGUAACAUGCGACCUUGUAUGCUAGAUGGCUUUAGUCAGCAGGCAGACUCGUGUAGCAGCGAUGCCGAAUCUUAUUGUGGCGUUGGGGAAGAAGAAGCAAGGCGGAAGCAUUCAUUAGGAGGUGAUGGAGCGAGAAGGUCCUGUAGGUCUGAACUAUAUACUUACCGGAGUACUUUGGGGGACUUGUUCGCUUCUGGUCCACUAAGUUGGGAACAAGAAACGUCAUUAACUGAUCUACGUCUUUCUCUUAAUAUAUCAGAUGAUGAACAUUUGAUGGAGCUCUAUGAAGUGUGUUGCAUAGCGGUGUGAGUUUCCUACUCAUCAUCCCUGGAACAGUAUCGCUUUGUUCGUGGCAUACAGACUUUUUGCUUUUAGAGGUCUAACUCUGAUGCUGGGGGUUGACGAGUUCUGCCUUUGCCAUCUGAAUGGUGCAAUAUCAUACAUGUUCUUUCUCAAAACAUAAUUGUCUUUUAUUUUGUCGCUUUUUGAUUAUGCGGCUUGUUUCAGGUGUCCUGGAGUCGGACUUGUCCACAGGGCUUUAAAGCUGUGCUUUCGAGCAGGUUUCCUUAAUAUAUAUUUACAGUCUGGUUGGAUAAAUUUGCUGACAACAUGUCAAGAUCGAGUAGUUUCUCUGUACUUUGUAGUUCAUUCGUUACGUCUCGUGGUGUCUUCCUUUUGGUAUUGUUUCUGGUCUGCUUAGAACUGCAUUAUGUUGAUACUAUUUUGUCUUAGUAUUAUUACCGUUCUAAGCAAUUGUGCUAUAUCCAGAUUGAUUCAUUUUUUUUCUUUUUAUUGCUAUUCCCAAAGCCAUAGUCCUUUGACGCCCAUUCUUCAUUCUUUGGGGAAUAAGCAUUGUGGCAUGGUGACUGGUGAGAGAGAGACUUGCUUUAAGAAUAAGGAAUCAACACAUUUAGGAUGAGCGCAUACAAUGUGUUAGACACUUGGCCUUAAUCGAGAUAUCUUCGGACUCUCAAAGGGAAGAAAUGUUUGCAUUCUCUGCUUAUUAGUCUGCCUUGUGGAAAGCUUACUCUUCAGAAAUCUCCAGCAAAGCUAGUUGUUUACAUGACAAUAUGAAGUUCCAAAGCCGAUUUCAUUUAUUUCCACAGAUGUGCAGAAUAUUUCUUGUAAAAUGGUGUCUUGACUAAUUUCUUCCUCAUUUAAUAUAACCGAGUUUCAAACUUCAA